rnacentral:rRNA from 1 species
UGGGGGAUAUUGCACAAUGGGCGAAAGCCUGAUGCAGCGACGCCGCGUGGGGGAUGAAGGCUUUCGGGUUGUAAACCUCUUUCGCUAACGAACAAGGCCCGCUUAGGGUGGGUUGAGGGUAGGUGGAGAAGAAGCGCCGGCUAACUACGUGCCAGCAGCCGCGGUAAUACGUAGGGCGCGAGCGUUGUCCGGAAUUAUUGGGAGUGAAGGGCUUGUAGGCGGCUUGUUGCGCCUGCUGUGAAAACGCGGGGCUUAACUUCGCGCGUGCAGUGGGUACGGGCAGGCUUGAGUGUGGUAGGGGUGACUGGAAUUCCAGGUGUAGCGGUGGAAUGCGCAGAUAUCUGGAGGAACACCGAUGGCGAAGGCAGGUCACUGGGCCAUUACUGACGCUGAGGAGCGAAAGCAUGGGUAGCGAACAGG